UCAAAAAAAAAAAAAAAAACUUUUCUUCAUGUUUUUGGGGUUUAGGGGUUUAAGUUUUUGAUUGGUAGAAGUUUCUGGGUUUGCUUUAUGGGUUUUCAGGGUUUAAGUUUCUGGAUUUUCUGAUGAUAACUAAACCAAUAAUUUGGACUUUGCAGACAAUGAAUAUGAUUUUAUUUUUCUUUUAUUUGCAUUCAUUUCCCCCACCUCCCUAUGUAAGCGUUAAUUUAGUUUAUAUGUGUUGUUUAAGGAAUGAGUUUGUAUGUGAUGAGAAGACCUUCAUGAUUGACCUGCUGUAGAAGAUUAUGGUUGAUGAAAAUUAGAAUUUUGGUUUUCAAUAUGAUAUUUUGAAUUGCUUUCUGCUAUAAAACAGAAAUAUUAGGAUCUUUAUGCAGAUUCUUUCUUUGUUUUAUGUAGAUUGUUAGAACUUUUUACCUGCUAAGUUCAAGACAAUUAAUUGUUUUUAAAAUAUAAUUCAUUAAGUCUAUACUUCUUUUUUGUUGUAUCUUCUGCAUCCAUUAAUUACUCAAUAAAAUUUUGGAACUUGUUUUUCAGUCUUUAAUGGAUUUGGAGAUGAAGAACAAAAUAGCUGCAAUUCUUUAACAGAACAUGGGUUUCAAUCCUAAUAUUGCAUCAUGGAGAUGCAGAGAACUGUUAUUUUU
rnacentral:misc_RNA from 1 species